CCCCCAGAUGUUGCUGAACUACAACUCUCAUAAGUAUCAUGGAAGUUGUAGUUCAGCAACAUCUGAGGG